CCUCCUGUUCAAGGAAUGAUCUCUCUUAUGUGCCUCCAGCAAGAUGCCGUCUAGCAUGCUGUGAUGAACCCAGAAAGCCCUUACCAUACCUGAGCAAAUGCUGGGGUCAUGCUCUUGAAUCCCCAGAACUGAUCAGCCAAUCCACAUCUCUUCUCCUGAAGACACAAGGGAUCAACAGGACACCGAAAGGGAAGACAAUAGAACAACCAACCCGGGAAGGCACAUCUGUUGCUAAGCUGGCCACCUUCUCCAGUAUACUUCCUCUUGUGACUGAAGCUCCACUUAGAACAAAUUUGGCACGCAGAAGGAGCCAUGCACAGGCUGUUCUGUGUUGCUAAGAUGGGUUUUGGGAACCUUGCAAAAAAGGGACCAGAGUUUCUGGUUGCAGGGCCAGAGUGGAAAUCAUCCACACAGCAGAAGAAGAAGCUCUGGAGGUCGCCUCUGCUUAGGUCGAUCUUGGUAACUUAUGCUCUACAGCAGAACAGGAGAAAUGAUACUCUUGAUCUACGCUGAGGCUUCAUCUACAUGAAUAUCCUGGACCUGAAUUGUGGCCACAAUUAGAUUCACCAGUGCGUCACUGGGCCGAAGGUGGAUGUACAUUUUUUCCCUAGAAGCCUUCAGAUGUGAACCUGUCCUGUAUGUUUAGGAGGUUGAAUUGUUCCAUGUGUAAUAGGGAACCAACUUACUGGUCAGUGAGUAGCUUAAAGCUGGCAAGAACCUCAAAAUUGUUUGGACCAGUUCAGUGAAUUGGUGGGUACAAUUUGGGUCUUAAGACUCUUGUGUUUCAUGGUUAGGCGAAUGUCAAAUAAAGUGGUACCUUGGGUCACAAAAUUAAUUUGUUCUACAAUUUUGGAAAAGGUGGCCAGGGUCAUGUUUGUUAUCUGAUGCAGAGUCUGACAACAAAAACAAAAUUUUGUCAACCUGUUCUGUUUGUGAACCAAAUUGUUUGCAAACAAAAUCAUUCAUGAAGCAAAGUACCACUGUGUAUGCUAAAAUGACCUGUAUGAAUGUAGGGCCUGAUGUUCCAUGGCAGGGCAUCUUGUUCUCAGCUAAAGAAGAAACUGAAGCAUACAUUUACUAACAGUUUUUUGUUGUACUAGAUUUAUAGUUAAAAUAUUAAGCAUGGACUACUGUGAAUUAAUUCUGAGAAACUCAAAAGCUGAAAAAUUUUCAUGUUUUAUACUUCACCAAAACCUCAGAAGAGACUCUUCAAGUAUUUGAUUCGGUUCUGUAUGUCAGCCGCUGUGGGUAUGUAACAUCUGAAAAGUGGGCAAUGUGUGUUUGUGACAGUGAAAGAGCAGAAAAGUGGUCAGAAGAGGAAAAAUACACAGGUCCUCCUCCUCACAUCUUGCUGUAGUCCAAUGGAACUCCUUCUUGAACAGCCCAGGAAGAUGUCCAUUGAUAAAAUUAGAAUGAAAUUUGUACAUGCCUUGUGAAUUUUCUGUGUGUUGUCCCUUAAGAAAAAAAUCAACUGCACACAUUGAAAGUUCUUCUAAGGCACCCAGGGCUUUGUGGCUGGCACUGAUCUUUAUUUACCUAGCUAAUAAAGU